rnacentral:rRNA from 1 species
UACGUAGGGGGCAAGCGUUGUCCGGAUUUAUUGGGCGUAAAGAGCGUGUAGGCGGCCAGACAGGUCCGUUGUGAAAACUCGAGGCUCAACCUCGAGACGCCGAUGGAAACCGUUUGGCUAGAGUCCGGAAGAGGAGAGUGGAAUUCCUGGUGUAGCGGUGAAAUGCGCAGAUAUCAGGAAGAACACCGGUGGCGAAGGCGGGACUCUGGGCCGAUACUGACGCUGAGGAGCGAAAGCGUGGGGAGCGAACAGG